rnacentral:rRNA from 1 species
AUUGAACGCUGGCGGCAGGCCUAACACAUGCAAGUCGAACGGUAACAGGAAGAAGCUUGCUUCUUUGCUGACGAGUGGCGGACGGGUGAGUAAUGUCUGGGAAACUGCCUGAUGGAGGGGGAUAACUACUGGAAACGGUAGCUAAUACCGCAUAACGUCGCAAGACCAAAGAGGGGGACCUUCGGGCCUCUUGCCAUCGGAUGUGCCCAGAUGGGAUUAGCUAGUAGGUGGGGUAACGGCUCACCUAGGCGACGAUCCCUAGCUGGUCUGAGAGGAUGACCAGCCACACUGGAACUGAGACACGGUCAAGACUCCUACGGGAGGCAGCAGUGGGGAAUAUUGCACAAUGGGCGCAAGCCUGAUGCAGCCAGGCCGCGUGUAUGAAGAAGGCCUUCGGGUUGUAAAGUACUUUCAGCGGGGAGGAAGGGAGUAAAGUUAAUACCUUUGCUCAUUGACGUUACCCGCAGAAGAAGCACCGGCUAACUCCGUG